rnacentral:rRNA from 1 species
CCUGCCGUCUACUCUUGGACAGCCUUCUGAAAGGAAGAUUAAUACAAGAUGGCAUCAUGAGUCCGCAUGUUCACAUGAUUAAAGGUAUUCCGGUAGACGAUGGGGAUGCGUUCCAUUAGAUAGUAGGCGGGGUAACGGCCCACCUAGUCUUCGAUGGAUAGGGGUUCUGAGAGGAAGGUCCCCCACAUUGGAACUGAGACACGGUCCAAACUCCUACGGGAGGCAGCAGUGAGGAAUAUUGGUCAAUGGGCGAGAGCCUGAACCAGCCAAGUAGCGUGAAGGAUGACUGCCCUAUGGGUUGUAAACUUCUUUUAUAAAGGAAUAAAGUCGGGUAUGGAUACCCGUUUGCAUGUACUUUAUGAAUAAGGAUCGGCUAACUCCGUGCCAGCAGCCGCGGUAAUACGGAGGAUCCGAGCGUUAUCCGGAUUUAUUGGGUUUAAAGGGAGCGUAGAUGGAUGUUUAAGUCAGUUGUGAAAGUUUGCGGCUCAACCGUAAAAUUGCAGUUGAUACUGGAUAUCUUGAGUGCAGUUGAGGCAGGCGGAAUUCGUGGUGUAGCGGUGAAAUGCUUAGAUAUCACGAAGAACUCCGAUUGCGAGGGCAGCCUGCUAAGCUGCAACUGACAUUGAGGCUCGAAAGUGUGGGUAUCAAACAGGAUUAGAUACCCUGGUAGUCCACACGGUAAACGAUGAAUACUCGCUGUUUGCGAUAUACUGCAAGCGGCCAAG